GUAGGGUGCGAGCGUUAAUCGGAAUUACUGGGCGUAAAGCGUGCGCAGGCGGUUUUGUAAGCCAGAUGUGAAAGCCCCGGGCUUAACCUGGGAAUGGCAUUUGGGACUGCAAGGCUGGAGUGCGGCAGAGGAGACUGGAAUUCCUGGUGUAGCAGUGAAAUGCGUAGAUAUCAGGAGGAACACCGAUGGCGAAGGCAGGUCUCUGGGCUGACACUGACGCUCAUGCACGAAAGCGUGGGGAGCAAACAGGAUUAGAUACCCUGGUAGUCCACGCCCUAAACGAUGUCGACUGGUUGUUGGGGGUUUGACACUCUCAGUAACGAAGCUAACGCGUGAAGUCGACCGCCUGGGGAGUACGGCCGCAAGGUUA
rnacentral:rRNA from 1 species